rnacentral:tRNA from 1 species
GGCGCUAUCGUCUAGCGGUCUAGGACGGCAGGUUCUCAUCCUGCUAACCUCGGUUCGAGUCCGAGUAGCGUCACCC